CCGAGUUUACAACACCCACUUUGCGGAGAUACGCUCACACAGUUGUGAGUUUGCGACUCACGUGAUUUGUGGCAGUGUUGUCACGCAGCUCUGCUCUGAAACUCUGAAACUCAGACUAAGCGAAAAUGAAGCUUCGCAACCUCGUAACAAAAAAAAAAGCUUGGAGGGAGGGCCUUCUGCUCUUGGCCAAUGCUUUGCUGUCUGCUGACGUACAGUCCAAUCACAAGUCGUAUUUAUCUGAAAGGUGGGAUUGACCGACUGCUCCGCCAAUGACAAAAGCGCACAGGAUACGCAAACAGAGAAUGCGCAGAUUUCUGGCCACAAGACGUCCCGGAUGGCUUGCGGUCUGGUUCUAAAAUAAGGUUACCAACUUUUCGCUGGAAUUCACCGUACAAUUGCCAUCAGUCUGCGUAUAAAUAACACGACUUUACACUUUCUAGUUGCGUGUAAUGCAUACGCCAAAUGCCAUUUUUGCGUGCAUAUGAUACGCCAAUACUUCACAUUAAUUUCGGUGGAGAGCAGAUGCGUCCAAAUAACACGCAUCAUCUUCAGCGGCAGUGACGUCACCAGCGAGGAUCGUCCAGUUCACCUGAUGCGCGUACACCUUCAAACAGUUACGUCGGAUUACAUGCUCCACAACAACCUGUAAUCCAGCAGAUCUUUAAAGAAGCCAUCUCUUGUAAAAUCUCUCUCUCUCUCUCUCUCUCUCUCUCUCUCUCUCUCUCUCUCUCUCUCUCUCUCUCUCUCUCUCUCUCUCGCUCUGCUAGAAUUAACAGUUAACUUUAACUCCACGCUCCCAAUGCUGAUAUUGAAGAAGCUGUUAAGGGGGCUGAACAAGUCCUUCAAAGGUUCAACCCCUCACAGGAAGGCCUGUCAUGAGAUUUGAAUUUGACCAUCUUGUGCAUUUAUGAAGAAGACCAAAAGCUGCAAAGGCAAACACUUGCAAUGGAUUUCUCACAGAUUACUUAAUCAUUCUUCAUCAGCUCUUCACAAUAUCAGCCCAUUCAAAAGCUUCCAGAUCUUCCUCUCUUGUGUGACACAUCUGCUCUCAGUCCUUUACUGCCAACUUCCAGUCUUAGCAUUUCUGCUUGUAUAAAUUUUUCCUCUACAUUCAUCACUCCCAUCUCUACUAUAAGCACUCCUGUCACUCUCACUAUAUAUAUAUAUAUAUAUAUA